rnacentral:rRNA from 1 species
CCUACGGGGUGCAACAGUAGGGAAUCUUUCACAAUGGGCGAAAGCCUGAUGGAGCAACGCCGCGUGCAGGAUGAAGGCCUUCGGGUUGUAAACUGCUUUUAUAAGCGAGAAAUAUGAUGGUAACUUAUGAAUAAGGAUCGGCUAACUACGUGCCAGCAGCCGCGGUCAUACGUAGGAUCCGAGCAUUAUCCGGAGUGACUGGGUGUAAAGAGUUGCGUAGGUGGCAUAAUAAGUAGCUAGUGAAAUCUGGUGGCUCAACCAUUCAGACUAUUAGCUAAACUGUUAAGCUCGAGACCGUUAGGGGUAACUGGAAUUUCUAGUGUAGGAGUGAAAUCCGUAGAUAUUAGAAGGAACACCAAUAGCGUAGGCAGGUUGCUGGGACGGGUCUGACACUAAGGCACGAAAGCGUAGGGAGCAAACGGGAUUAGAUACCCGGGUAGUC